CACAUGCAAGUCGAGCGAGAUCUUCGGGUCUAGCGGCGGACGGGUGAGUAACGCGUGGGAACGUGCCCUUUGCUACGGAAUAGUCCUGGGAAACUGGGGGUAAUACCGUAUACGCCCUUUUGGGGAAAGAUUUAUCGGCGAAGGAUCGGCCCGCGUUGGAUUAGGUAGUUGGUGGGGUAAUGGCCUACCAAGCCGACGAUCCAUAGCUGGUUUGAGAGGAUGAUCAGCCACACUGGGACUGAGACACGGCCCAGACUCCUACGGGAGGCAGCAGUGGGGAAUCUUAGACAAUGGGGGCAACCCUGAUCUAGCCAUGCCGCGUGAGUGAUGAAGGCCUUAGGGUUGUAAAGCUCUUUCAGCUGGGAAGAUAAUGACGGUACCAGCAGAAGAAGCCCCGGCUAACUCCGUGCCAGCAGCCGCGGUAAUACGGAGGGGGCUAGCGUUGUUCGGAAUUACUGGGCGUAAAGCGCACGUAGGCGGACCAGAAAGUUGGGGGUGAA
rnacentral:rRNA from 1 species